GCCAGGCAUGGUGGCGGGUGCCUGUAAUCCCAGCUACUCAGGAGGCUGAGGUGGGAGAAUCGCUUGAACCCGGGAGGCAGAGGUUGCAGUGAGCCGAGAUCGCACCACUGCACUCCAGCCUGGGUGACAGAGCGAGACUCUAUCUCAA
rnacentral:SRP_RNA from 1 species